CCUGGCCACAAUCACCCAAACCCAGACGGCAGCACGAGCCAUGUCUCACCUUGGGAUCUCUCCUGCCACCACCGCCAGAGGAGGGGUCUCGGCUCCACGGAGCCUGGCCCGGCCUUCGGCUUCCACCCUAUAAGGGACCCAAGAGACAAGGUGACACCCACAGUGAGACGCCAUCGACUGGACUCCUCGGGCGGUCGGUGCUGCCCCGCUGGGCUCGAGGAUGGAAAGGCAGGAAGAGAAAGGCCCCGUUUCCUUGCGAGUGGACCUCAGAGUUCCAGACACACAUUAUUCGUCAUCGAUGCCUCAUACGCUGGCAUUGAUCAUCAUCGAUCCAGAAAAGGGGGACCUUCUCUUCCUUCGCGGUCGGCGCUGCCCCGUUGGGCUCGAGGAUGGAAAGGCAGGAAGAGAAAGGCCCCGUUUCCUUGCGAGUGGACCUCAGAGUUCCAGACACACAUUAUUCGUCAUCGAUGCCUCAUACGCUGGCAUUGAUCAUCAUCGAUCCAGAAAAGGGGGACCUUCUCUUCCUUCGCCAUGGCCCGUGGAGUCAGGCAUUCCUCCCCGCACGGCCACUGGGCAACCCAAGGGGCCCGCCCCACCCAACGAGGCCUCGCCAUCCCUCGGGGGGCCUCUAGGACCCGUCCCCUGGCUUUCGGUCUCUCUGGGCCGCGGAGGACCAGCUGGGCCCCUGUGCAGGACGUCCAAGAGACCUUCCUAGCCAGAGCUGUCCCAUCCCUGGGACGCCAGAGCCCUUCUGGACUGCUGGCCUCGCCCGCAUCUGCCGCCCACCCUCCACCAGCCCCUCGCACUGCCCUGCCCAGCCCAGCCCCGACAAGCCCUGGGAUGCUGCUCACACUGGUCCCCUGGCUCCAAAGACAACGCUGCCAUCCUCGCCUGCUCAUCCAGGAAGGAGCCGGCCUUCGGGUCCGGCGGCUGCACACUGAGGAGUACAAAGCCAAGAGGAGGAGACCCAAUGGCACAGCCAUUCUCCAGGCUCGCGGCUUCCACACACACACCUGGCCAUAGCCUGGCAUGCGGCAUACCAUGAGGGUCACCAAGGACCUGGCAAAUGCCUUCACUCCCUUUCUCUCUAGAUUCAGUUCUCUGAUACUGCCGGACGGGUGCUCACAUUUUCCCAUUGGGCUAACACCAGGAAAACGCUGGAAUGCCCGUGCUCUGUCAGUCACCCUCGUCGUUUCCUGACCUCGGCCUAUUGGGUCACUGCUUUGUGGACAUUGAACCAGAUUCUUUCUUCAGUGGACCUCGGAGUUUCAGACAGGUUUUCAUCGUACAGGACGCAUAUGCCACCAGGAGUCAUCUUCAAUCCAAUACUGUCCCUCCUGUGUUCCCUUAGCUUGACCUUCUUUGUUGAUCAAUUUAUUAAAGGGCUGGGUAAGAUAUCAAUACCCUACCUGAACUUCCAGGGGUCCGUGGGAUGGGAAGCGUCUCAUGAUACCUGUCACCAUGGACUGUGCAAUUUGGUCUUGCCUUUACUCCCUCUCCCUUUCGUUUCCUUUUCU
rnacentral:lncRNA from 1 species